rnacentral:rRNA from 1 species
CAGAGGGUGCGAGCGUUGUCCGGAAUCACUGGGCGUAAAGGGCGCGUAGGUGGCGACCCAAGUCAAUGGUGAAAGCUCGAUGCUUAACAUCGAGUCGGCCACUGAUACUGGGUUGCUGGAGCACUGUAGAGGCUCAUGGAAUUCCGGGUGUAGCGGUGGAAUGCGUAGAGAUCCGGAAGAACACCGGUGGCGAAGGCGGUGAGCUGGGCAGUUGCUGACACUGAGGCGCGACAGCGUGGGGAGCAAACAGGAUUAGAUACCCUGGUAGUCCACGCCGUAAACGAUGGGCACUAGAUGCUUGGGGGAGCGACCCCCUGAGUGUCGACGCUAACGCAUUAAGUGCCCCGCCUGGGGAGUACGGCCGCAAGGCUG